GCAAGUCGAACGAACUCUGGUAUUGAUUGGUGCUUGCAUCAUGAUUUACAUUUGAGUGAGUGGCGAACUGGUGAGUAACACGUGGGAAACCUGCCCAGAAGCGGGGGAUAACACCUGGAAACAGAUGCUAAUACCGCAUAACAACUUGGACCGCAUGGUCCGAGUUUGAAAGAUGGCUUCGGCUAUCACUUUUGGAUGGUCCCGCGGCGUAUUAGCUAGAUGGUGGGGUAACGGCUCACCAUGGCAAUGAUACGUAGCCGACCUGAGAGGGUAAUCGGCCACAUUGGGACUGAGACACGGCCCAAACUCCUACGGGAGGCAGCAGUAGGGAAUCUUCCACAAUGGACGAAAGUCUGAUGGAGCAACGCCGCGUGAGUGAAGAAGGGUUUCGGCUCGUAAAACUCUGUUGUUAAAGAAGAACAUAUCUGAGAGUAACUGUUCAGGUAUUGACGGUAUUUAACCAGAAAGCCACGGCUAACUACGUGCCAGCAGCCGCGGUAAUACGUAGGUGGCAAGCGUUGUCCGGAUUUAUUGGGCGUAAAGCGAGCGCAGGCGGUUUUUUAAGUCUGAUGUGAAAGCCUUCGGCUCAACCGAAGAAGUGCAUCGGAAACUGGGAAACUUGAGUGCAGAAGAGGACAGUGGAACUCCUG
rnacentral:rRNA from 2 species